rnacentral:rRNA from 1 species
CUGGCGGCGUGCUUACCAUGCAAGUCUGAGGGCACUUGGGGGCAACUCCAGGUGACCGGCGAACGGGUGCGUAACACGUGAGCGAUCUACCCUGGUGUGGGGGAUAGCCGGCCCAACGGCCGGGUAAUACCGCAUGCGCUUGCCUUUCUACCUGGAAGGACAAGCAAAGCCUUCGGGCGCACUGGGAGGGGCUCGCGGCCUAUCAGCUCGUUGGCGGGGUAAUGGCCCACCAAGGCGACGACGGGUAGCUGGUCUGAGAGGAUGGCCAGCCACAUUGGGACUGAGAGACGGCCCAGACUCCUACGGGAGGCAGCAGUGGGGAAUCUUGCGCAAUGGGCGAAAGCCUGACGCAGCGACGCCGCGUGCGGGAGGACGGCCUUCGGGUUGUAAACCGCUGUUGCCCGGGACGAAUGGCCCUUUCGAGGGACGUGACGGUACCGGGUGAGGAAGCACCGGCUAACUCCGUGCCAGCAGCCGCGGUAAUACGGAAGGUGCGAGCGUUGUCCGGAAUCACUGGGCGUAAAGGGCGCGUA